UUAUAUUUAAUGCAUACAAUCUGCGAUGUACUCUUUUCUGUCCCCCGCCUAGACUAAAGAGUUUGUCUCAUUUGGCUUCCUCAAAAAUAACCCCCACGCCACUGUUCAUCAUAAGAAAUCACCAUAGCGGACAUGAGGCUCAGAGAAAGCACCACCCUCCUUUGUUCUGUUUGAUGGAAAUGUUCUCCGGAGGACUUCUCCUGAUUUUAGUGAUGACGUCAUCUGCUGCCCAGAAAGUCAAGCAGAACCUGACCUCCACUGUGGGAGGAGAGGUCACCAUACCUGGGCCUGUCAAGAGUCUUGGAUAUCUUCUGAAUCAAGAAGGCGUAAUCGCUAGAGUGAAAGAUAGUGUGUUGGAGACAGAAAAUGAGGAUUUCCUGAACAGAACUUCCUGGGACCGAGCCACUGGGCUGUUCACUAUAAGAAGACUGCAGAGCAAGGAUUCAGGGGAUUAUUCUGUUAAUGCUAACAAAAUUCUUGUAUCAUUCAAGCUGAAUGUUUAUGACGCCGUCCUGGAGCCCGGUGUCACCGUAACGUCUGUGAGCAGCGAGGGCUGCACCCUGCUGUGUGCUGUGGACCAACUGAGCGGAGGGACUCUCUCCUGGUAUCAAGGAGAGGACCUGGUGGACCAGAGCAGCACCCAGCGCUCUCUCCCUCUGACCGUGGACAGGCUGGGUCUCCGGUCCUCCUACCGCUGUGUGUCUGCCAACCCUGCUGGUAACCUCACCCGGUCAGUCGACGCUAAGACGUCCUGCCCAGUAGAACAACUCACUGGUGACGAAGUUGAAGCAAAGUCUAACAGGCUGGUCUGGAUUGUGAUUCCGAUCAUCUGUGGUAUUACAUUCAUCCUAUUCUUAUCUGUCAUCAUAUUCUAUGUGGAAAGACAUCUCCAAGGCAAGGCAUUUUUUCUUACAAUUGUUUUUGUUGGAUAAUGACAAUGGUCUGGAGGCUUAACAUAUCAUUGAGGCUAGAUGUUUCCUGUGAGAGAUGAAUCCGAUGUUGAAUAGCAGCUUGUCCCCAGGGUUAGCCGCAGCCGAGCGGACCAGCUGUCCUCGGUACGGGGGCGGUCUCCUGUUAUCGUUCUCCCUGCUGUGCUGCAGGUUGCACCAGCUACCUCAUAGCAAUCAUUUAUCAAUAAUGCAUUAGUCUGGCAUUACAAGCCACACUCAUUGUUAUACUGAUUUCUGUCUGUUUAGUUUCUUCCGUCGUAUUUUCUUCCUUACUCCUUCUACAGUUGUUGUGUGUCUACUUUAUAGAGUGAAUAUUGUUUUUUAUUUUAUCAAUUUAUAUAAUAUUAUUUAUUAUCUAUCACUCUUUACUUCUAUCACUAUCUGCCAAUAUAUCUCUAUAUCUAGAUCUCUAUAGAUAUGUAAGUAAUCAAAAUAAGCAUUAAAAAGAUGAAGAAGAUUGCAUAUCAUAGAACCAAGUUCUUGGCACUUCCAGCAGCCUGAAGGGAAACUGUCUCUCACCUCAUUCUAAAAUCUGAGUUUACUGCUUGAUGCGUGUGAAAACAUAGUGAUCGGGAACUCCCACUCUCUGUCCCUGUAAAGGUGGCAGAAACGUUUCUGUCCCCAGUGGUUUGAUGUGGAAAAAUGACGUUAAUUGUCCGCAAUCUUUUCACACUGACUGUGUUUUUUCCCCAACGCACACAUGAAGCAGCAGUCUCUCAUGGUAGAAACAGCCAUGGUGUCUGAGCUUCCCCUUAUGGAUAUUCAAUAGAUUGAGUGUCCACAUGCUUCCCAUGGCGGUGUAGGCAGCAGGAAGAUAAAUGAAUGUGGAAAUCCUCUCUGUACAGCAGACCCUUCUACUGCAUGACUUAUAGUGGUGCUGUUUUAUUCAUUAAUGUUGGCCUUCUGUUUGUAGCUUCAAUCCAACAGAAGGGUGGCUUCACACAGCAGGAGGAGCCUGAACACGGCCGCUGCAACACGCACGUCAGAUACAACGAGAUACAAGCCAAAGAGAACUGAAGGAAUAAACGCUCUUGGAUCAAACCAUCGUAGCCGCCUCUCCUGGGGUCAGAAACAUUUGGCAGGAUGACUCUGUUUGCAUUUAGUGUGCACCCCCCGGCACGAAUAUAACAACAGCACAAAUUUAGCAAUAUAGCACUUGAGUCUUUUGGAACCAAGUGAUCAAUGUGCUUCAGCCCAUAUGGACCCAUAUAAUGAAUCACCCUACAAUGACAGUGAUCUCCCUGCAAGUUCAGUGAAUCACCCUACCAGUAGAGUAGGGUACAUUUGAACAUUGGCUUCCUGUUGGUCAGAGAAUUGAUUUUAAAAUCAUGUUGGUCACCUAUGGAUCCCUACAUGUUUUGGGGCCAAAGUAUUUAACUGAUAUGAUUCCACAACAUAAGCAUUCUAGACCACUAAGAUCUUCUGAGACCAUUCUGUUAAUUAUCCCCAGAGUAUACAAAAAACAUAGGAAAGCAGGAUUUAGUUAUGCAACAAAUAGCUGGAAUAAACUCCCUGAGGAUUUAAGACUUGCCCCGACUCUGACCACUUUUAAAACAAGACUGAAGACUUUAAUGUUUGCUUUAGCUUUCUGCUCAUCUUAAAUACAUUGCACUUUCAAAAUAAAAAUAAAAAGGCCUUUUUAGCUUUACAUUUAUUUUCUAUUUUUACCAGAGAGAUACAUGAUCUGAGAAAGGAUAAGGGUUUGAGACCCGAGUUUUGUCUGGGUUAGAGUCCUAGAAUCCGGGUUGGAGUCCCAGAAUCUGGGUUGGAAACCCAGAGAAAGACCCAGAGAAAGGACCAAGUUCCUUUAGGUCGGGUCGGAGUACCAGACAGAAUGUUGAUCUGAUCUUAAACACAUUGCACUUUCUAAAAUGCUUUUUUA